rnacentral:rRNA from 1 species
UACGGAGGGAGCUAGCGUUGUUCGGAAUUACUGGGCGUAAAGCGCACGUAGGCGGCUAUUCAAGUCGGGGGUGAAAGCCCGGGGCUCAACCCCGGAACUGCCCUCGAAACUAGAUAGCUAGAAUCUUGGAGAGGCGAGUGGAAUUCCGAGUGUAGAGGUGAAAUUCGUAGAUAUUCGGAAGAACACCAGUGGCGAAGGCGACUCGCUGGACAAGUAUUGACGCUGAGGUGCAAAAGCGUGGGGAGCAAACAGG